rnacentral:rRNA from 1 species
AUUGAACGCUGGCGGCAGGCCUAACACAUGCAAGUCGAACGGCAGCACGGGAGCAAUCCUGGUGGCGAGUGGCGAACGGGUGAGUAAUAUAUCGGAACGUGCCCAGUCGUGGGGGAUAACGUAGCGAAAGCUACGCUAAUACCGCAUACGAUCUAUGGAUGAAAGCGGGGGAUCGCAAGACCUCGCGCGAUUGGAGCGGCCGAUAUCAGAUUAGGUAGUUGGUGAGGUAAAGGGCUCACCAAGCCGACGAUCUGUAGCUGGUCUGAGAGGACGACCAGCCACACUGGGACUGAGACACGGCCCAGACUCCUACGGGAGGCAGCAGUGGGGAAUUUUGGGACAAUGGGCGCAAGCCUGAUCCAGCAAUGCCGCGUGCAGGA